rnacentral:tRNA from 1 species
GGAGACAUGGCCAAGUGGUAAGGCAAAGGACUGUAAAUCCAUUUUACCCAGUUCAAAUCCGAGUGUCUUUU